UAAGAUGUCAUUUAAUGACAGAUCAAGAGUUUCGCCUAUUAGAUAUAUGCCCUAGAAACCAAUAUAAAAUUGAUAAUUCUAAGAAAAUAAUAUAUAAUAAUCAAAGGGGCAAAAACGUUGCUUUAGAUACAUAAUGUACACAACGUAACAAGUCCAUGGAUUAAGAUAUAAAUGGAAAGUGGUCUAAAGGAGUUAGAUGCAC
rnacentral:lncRNA from 1 species